rnacentral:rRNA from 1 species
UAUGCUCAGAUYGAACGCUGGCGGCAGGCWUAACACAUGCAAGUMGAGCGGAGAGAGGYAGCUUGCUACCGAUCUUAGCGGCGGACGKGUGAGUAAUGCUUAGGAAUCUGCCUAUUAGUGGGGGACAACAYUUCGAAAGGAAUGCUAAUACCGCAUACGUCCUACGGGAGAAAGCAGGGGAUCUUCGGACCUUGCGCUAAUAGAUGAGCCUAAGUCGGAUUAGCUAGUUGGUGGGGUAAAGGCCUACCAAGGCGACGAUCUGUAGCGGGUCUGAGAGGAUGAUCCGCCACACUGGGACUGAGACACGGCCCAGACUCCUACGGGAGGCAGCAGUGGGGAAUAUUGGACAAUGGGCGCAAGCCUGAUCCAGCCAUGCCGCGUGUGUGAAGAAGSCCUUAUGGUUGUAAAGCACUUUAAGCGAGGAGGAGGCUACUGAAGUUAAUACCUUCAGAUAGUGGACGUUACUCGCAGAAUAAGCACCGGCUAACUCUGUKCCAGCAGCCGCGGUAAUACAGAGGGUGCAAGCGUUAAUCGGAUUUACUGGGCGUAAAGCGCGCGUAGGCGGCUAAUUAAGUCAAAUGUGAAAUCCCCGAGYUUAACYUGGGAAUUGCAUUCGAUACUGGUUAGCUAGAGUGUGGGAGAGGAUGGUAGAAUUCCMGGUGUAGCGGUGAAAUGGGUAGAGAUCUGGAGGAAUACCGAUGGCGAAGGCAGCCAUCUGCCCUAACAUGAUUUUAGU